rnacentral:SRP_RNA from 1 species
GCCGGGCGUGGUAGUGCACGCCUGUAAUCCCAGCUACUUGGGAGGCUGAGGCAGGAGAAUCGCUUGAACCCAGGAGGCAGAGGUUGCAGUGAGCAGAGAUCACACCACUGCACUCCCGCCUGGGUGACAGAGCUAGACUCCGUCUCAA